GCGUGUGACUGCGUACCUUUUGUAUAAUGGGUCAGCGACUUAUAUUCUGUAGCAAGGUUAACCGAAUAGGGGAGCCGAAGGGAAACCGAGUCUUAACUGGGCGUUAAGUUGCAGGGUAUAGACCCGAAACCCGGUGAUCUAGCCAUGGGCAGGUUGAAGGUUGGGUAACACUAACUGGAGGACCGAACCGACUAAUGUUGAAAAAUUAGCGGAUGACUUGUGGCUGGGGGUGAAAGGCCAAUCAAACCGGGAGAUAGCUGGUUCUCCCCGAAAGCUAUUUAGGUAGCGCCUCGUGAAUUCAUCUCCGGGGGUAGAGCACUGUUUCGGCAAGGGGGUCAUCCCGACUUACCAACCCGAUGCAAACUGCGAAUACCGGAGAAUGUUAUCACGGGAGACACACGGCGGGUGCUAACGUCCGUCGUGAAGAGGGAAACAACCCAGACCGCCAGCUAAGGUCCCAAAGUCAUGGUUAAGUGGGAAACGAUGUGGGAAGGCCCAGACAGCCAGGAUGUUGGCUUAGAAGCAGCCAUCAUUUAAAGAAAGCGUAAUAGCUCACUGGUCGAGUCGGCCUGCGCGGAAGAUGUAACGGGGCUAAACCAUGCACCGAAGCUGCGGCAGCGACGCUGAUGCGUUGUUGGGUAGGGGAGCGUUCUGUAAGCCUGUGAAGGUGUGCUGUGAGGCAUGCUGGAGGUAUCAGAAGUGCGAAUGCUGACAUAAGUAACGAUAAAGCGGGUGAAAAGCCCGCUCGCCGGAAGACCAAGGGUUCCUGUCCAACGUUAAUCGGGGCAGGGUGAGUCGACCCCUAAGGCGAGGCCGAAAGGCGUAGUCGAUGGGAAACAGGUUAAUAUUCCUGUACUUGGUGUUACUGCGAAGGGGGGACGGAGAAGGCUAUGUUGGCCGGGCGACGGUUGUCCCGGUUUAAGCGUGUAGGCUGGUUUUCCAGGCAAAUCCGGAAAAUCAAGGCUGAGGCGUGAUGACGAGGCACUACGGUGCUGAAGCAACAAAUGCCCUGCUUCCAGGAAAAGCCUCUAAGCAUCAGGUAACAUCAAAUCGUACCCCAAACCGACACAGGUGGUCAGGUAGAGAAUACCAAGGCGCUUGAGAGAACUCGGGUGAAGGAACUAGGCAAAAUGGUGCCGUAACUUCGGGAGAAGGCACGCUGAUAUGUAGGUGAAGCGACUUGCUCGUGGAGCUGAAAUCAGUCGAAGAUACCAGCUGGCUGCAACUGUUUAUUAAAAACACAGCACUGUGCAAACACGAAAGUGGACGUAUACGGUGUGACGCCUGCCCGGUGCCGGAAGGUUAAUUGAUGGGGUCAGCGCAAGCGAAGCUCUUGAUCGAAGCCCCGGUAAACGGCGGCCGUAACUAUAACGGUCCUAAGGUAGCGAAAUUCCUUGUCGGGUAAGUUCCGACCUGCACGAAUGGCGUAAUGAUGGCCAGGCUGUCUCCACCCGAGACUCAGUGAAAUUGAACUCGCUGUGAAGAUGCAGUGUACCCGCGGCAAGACGGAAAGACCCCGUGAACCUUUACUAUAGCUUGACACUGAACAUUGAGCCUUGAUGUGUAGGAUAGGUGGGAGGCUUUGAAGUGUGGACGCCAGUCUGCAUGGAGCCGACCUUGAAAUACCACCCUUUAAUGUUUGAUGUUCUAACGUUGACCCGU
rnacentral:rRNA from 1 species